AGCCCGCCAUGCCUGAGCUUCCCCCCGCCCCCGCCGUGGGCUCCUGUGCGGCCCGAGCCUCCCCGACGAGCGCCGCCCCCUGCUCCACGAUGCCCAGUCCCAUCGACCACCCAAGGGCUGAGGAGUGCGGGCUCACGGUUACAGGAUUCCCAUUUCAGAACUACGACCAUUUGAAAAAUAGAAGAUUUAAAGAUUGACGCAAAGUGCAUGUACCAUGAUACACCAGGUCUCAUCUCCUGAAUAUUUGUCCUGCCCUGAGUUUUCACCUGAGGCCACCUGUACAACUGACUAGAGUAGUUCCACUGAUUGCUAAAAUGGAACAGGCAGGAUUGGUAUUGACUGUCCAAGAGCAAAGUCAGAUACAGGUAAGUGUAAAACAUCGCUGGGAUUUGUCUCCUUAGUUUAUCGUUUCAUAACCAAGCUGACCACCAUCUGCUUUAUGAGGCAACUUCUCCCUGACUGCCUCGCUUACAGAAGUAGGCUUCGGUUUUCUCAAGGGUUUCUCAGAGGCCAGAGGUUUGCCAGGAAAAUGAAUUAUAUUUUUCUCAGCACGUCUUCCUGAGAGAGUGGAUCUUGCAUGAGGAAGCAACAGUCUGUGAUAAAAUUCCCCAUCCUGCCUUCUGCUUCCUUAUAAGAUCACCUGAUGCAAUGAUCAGUGAGUUGUAUAGAUGAAAAACUGAGAAAAAGAGAUAAGGAACAACCAGUGUCAAAAUCUAAACAUGAGAAAAGACUUAGGAUAGGUUUUCUAAUCAAAAGCCGAUGUCCUCUUCUUAUAUAAACAAUUAACAAUGUUGAAACAAAACGGUGAUGAUAUGGGCUAACGGUGAUGCAUCUAAUUUUUUUCUUAACAAAAUCCCAAUCCAUUAAACUAUUUCAACUAAGUCAUAUCAGGAAUUCUGUUUUUCUAUUCAGUAUAUGUAACACAAGUAACAUUUUUAUUUUAAAAAUAAUUUUAAACUUCUGAACAGGAAUCAGAUUAGCAGAACUUACUGAUAUUCUACAUAAAAAUCACUACUGUCAAGGGAAAAAAGAACUCCUACAACAGAGGCUUUUAAUCGAGACAAAAUUAGAUCUUGUCCUGUAAAUUAUUGUAUUGCUUCCUGGUGUUUUAUGGAAUUAAGUGAGAUAUUUCUUGUAGAACAUCUAACAGCAAUGCUUGGCAUGGAGUAAGUACUCAAAAAUGUUAGCUAUUAUUAUAAACAAUAUUUUUACUGCUUUAGAAGAAGAGUAUCUCAUUUGCUGUAUAAUAGUCAAUACUUUCGUAUGGUAAUAUGACAAGUUUUUAUGACUUAAGAAUCUCUUUGUGUAUAUAAAUUGCAGUAAUGAUCUUUAUUUUGAAGUUAUUUAUCACUUUUCAAAAGAUUCUUAAAACAUAUUAUCUGGUCAUAUAUAUUUACAUAUACAAAUACACAUAUAUGUAAAUGUAAAUUAUAUAUGUAUAUAUUUUUUAAAUAUCCCCUGCAAGCUCUCCAUGAUUUGGACCAGGACCCCAUUCCAACCUCAACUCCUCAUCCACGUCUUCCUCUAGCUUUGUAAGGAUGGUCAUCUCUAAAUAGAAACUUAUUCUAUUAUGUUUUCAGGUAGUCAACUGUCUCAUCAUCUUAGACUUUCAUGAGUUCUCACCAGGAGAUGCAGUGUGGUAUAGUGAUAAAGGUCAUAGACCUACGAUCUGAGUGCCCUGACCUGGGGCACAUUACUUGACAUUUUUGUGCCUCUGUUCCAUCAUCUGAAAGAUGGGAAUAAAAAUAUUGCUUAGCUGACUGCA
rnacentral:lncRNA from 1 species